rnacentral:rRNA from 1 species
GACGAACGCUGGCGGCGUGCCUAAUACAUGCAAGUAGAACGCUGAAGGAGGAGCUUGCUCUUCUGGAUGAGUUGCGAACGGGUGAGUAACGCGUAGGUAACCUGCCUGGUAGCGGGGGAUAACUAUUGGAAACGAUAGCUAAUACCGCAUAAGAGUAGAUGUUGCAUGACAUUUGCUUAAAAGGUGCAAUUGCAUCACUACCAGAUGGACCUGCGUUGUAUUAGCUAGUUGGUGGGGUAACGGCUCACCAAGGCGACGAUACAUAGCCGACCUGAGAGGGUGAUCGGCCACACUGGGACUGGAGCACGGCCCAGACCCCUACGGGAGGCAGCAGUAGGGAAUCUUCGGCAAUGGACGGAAGUCUGACCGAGCAACGCCGCGUGAGUGAAGGAGGUUUUCGGAUCGUAAAGCUCUGUUGUAAGAGAAGAACGAGUGGGGGAGUGGAAAGUGCACACUGUGACGGUAUCUUACCAGAAAGGGACGGCUAACUACGUG